AGCAAUUAAACAUACUGGACGAGUUUGGGGAAUUGAUUUCACAUGAUGGAAGUUGUAGUUCACCCUGCAUCACGUCAGAGCACUGUGACCCCGACUGACAAUGGACCUGGUACUACAGGGGUUUGUAAACUGCUUUGAGUCCCCCCAGGGGUGAGAAAAGCUAUAUAAAUAAACAAAUAAAUUGUGGGAAUUGAUAUUGGGAGUUGUAGUUCACCCUUAUCCACAGAGCCAUGAACCCAGCCGACAAAUAACUCAGCCGUCAAAUGCCAGGUCCCCAAGUAGUAGUAGUGCUUGAAUGUAACUGUUAGACCCUUGUAACCGUAGAUAAUGUGAUUUAAUUAUGUAAUUUGUCUUUUCAGCCAGGUGUUGGGGGCACCUGCUUCACCACAUAUCUUAUCCAAGAAAAAAGGAAAGACAGCAGAGUCAGCAUUCUGAGAAGCAAAGAUCUCAACAACUGCACAGAUAAAGUUGUGAAAGAUGUUGGAAUGACCUAUGUGAGGCCUUGCCCCACAUGUCCAGUGAAUAUCACAAACACAAGAGGGACUGUGGCAUUCAACUACAACCUGAAACGUACAGACACUGGAUCUCUGAUUAUACAAGCUGAAUCCCAGCAAAUUUAUGAGAUCUCCCCAUUCAAUGAAUUUCAUGGUACUGCUGUUAUGGUGGCAAGGUAUGUUUGAUGAGUAGCAUUGAAUCAGUAUUGUCACUAGGACUAUGUUCUUGUUCAGAUAUGAAUGUGUGCUCUCCCUCUCCCAUUGCUACUGAGAGGUGAAAAUGUGAACCAUAGAAAUUGGGAUGGAAGUGAAAAGAAAUAAAUUCUGGUUUUCAUAUUUGCUCUUCAACGUUACCUUCACACAUGAAGGAAAACACUUCAUACUGUUGUCAUCUAGUGAGUACAUUAAGAUUAAAAAUAGUCCUUGGGUUUUUGUUUUUCAGUUGAGACAAGGCAGAACAUGAGUCCCAUACUGGGAGAAAGGAUACACAGCCCAACCAAAAAGAAUUCUUGGUGUUGUGGUUUUCAGGCCUAUUCCUGGGGUUAUUUGGGGCACUGAUUCAGUAAAGUGCAUUGGAUAGACUGUAUCAGCUCUAGUUUUUAGAUACAGCUAUCAUGGUUUUGUAUGGGUGAGCAAAUGGCAUCUAAGUAAAAGUAAAGGUUGUCUAGUUGUGUCUGACUCUGGGGGUUGGUGCUCAUCGCCUUUUCUAAGCCGAAGAGCCAACGUUGUCAUAAACACAUCCAAGGUCAUGUGGCUGGCACAGAGGAGGUCCAAGGUAAUUUUCAAGUGUAGGCGAACAGAAAUUCCCCCCCCCCCCCAAAAAAAACAAAACCAAUCACUGUAAAAUAAAAGCGUUGAUCCUGGUCAUGACAACACACAAAUUAUUAUUAUUAUUAUUAUUAUUAUUAUUAUUAUUAUUAUUAAGAUCCAAAGGAGCAGGGUGUGAAAAUAGUUCACAUUCCAGGAUCCCAUCCCAGGCUUUUUAUGUUUAACUGGAUUAUACGAGUCCACACUGCCAGAUAAUCUGGGAUAAACAGAAAAUUUCUGAUUAGAUCCUGGGAUAUAGGUCCUGUCUCGAAGGGCCCUAAGUGGCCUAUAAACUUUGACAAACUGGGAUUCCUUCUGCAUGCUACAGCAGGCAGAAAUGCAAAUCAUGGGUCAGUUGAGCAACAUGACAAGGAAGUAAAGAGAGAGGGCCCUUGCACACAGCCAUAUAACCCAGAAUAUCUACUUUGAACUGAGUUAUCUGA
ensembl:lncRNA